rnacentral:rRNA from 1 species
CGGGUGCGUAACACGUGGGCAAUCUGCCCUCUGAUGGGGAAUAACCCGCCGAAAGGCGGGCUAAUACCGCAUAAAAUUCCUUGGACUUAUGUUCGAGGACUCAAAGGCGUAAGUCGUCGGAGGAGGAGCCCGCGCACGAUUAGCUAGUUGGUAGGGUAAUGGCCUACCAAGGCUUUGAUCGUUAGCUGGUCUGAGAGGAUGGCCAGCCACACUGGAACUGAGACACGGUCCAG